rnacentral:rRNA from 1 species
UCGAACGGUAACAGGCCGCAAGGUGCUGACGAGUGGCGAACGGGUGAGUAAUGCAUCGGAACGUGCCCAGUCGUGGGGGAUAACGCAGCGAAAGCUGCGCUAAUACCGCAUACGAUCUAUGGAUGAAAGCGGGGGACCGUAAGGCCUCGCGCGAUUGGAGCGGCCGAUGUCGGAUUAGGUAGUUGGUGGGGUAAAGGCUCACCAAGCCAACGAUCUGUAGCUGGUCUGAGAGGACGACCAGCCACACUGGAACUGAGACACGGUCCAGACUCCUACGGGAGGCAGCAGUGGGGAAUUUUGGACAAUGGGCGCAAGCCUGAUCCAGCAAUGCCGCGUGCAGGAAGAAGGCCUUCGGGUUGUAAACUGCUUUUGUACGGAACGAAACGGCGAGCUCUAAUACAGUUUGCUAAUGACGGUACCGUAAGAACAAGCACCGGCUAACUACGUGCCAGCAGCCGCGGUAAUACGUAGGGUGCGAGCGUUAAUCGGAAUUACUGGGCGUAAAGCGUGCGCAGGCGGUUUUGUAAGACAGUCGUGAAAUCCCCGGGCUCAACCUGGGAAUUGCGAUUGUGACUGCAAAGCUGGAGUGCGGCAGAGGGGGAUGGAAUUCCGCGUGUAGCAGUGAAAUGCGUAGAUAUGCGGAGGAACACCGAUGGCGAAGGCAAUCCCCUGGGCCUGCACUGACGCUCAUGCACGAAAGCGUGGGGAGCAAACAGGAUUAGAUACCCUGGUAGUCCACGCCCUAAACGAUGUCAACUGGUUGUUGGGUCUCUUCUGACUCAGUA